rnacentral:lncRNA from 1 species
AAUUCGCUAUUCCUAGCUGGGGUCACAGGGAACCAACCAGUCUUCAUGUUGGAAAAAAAUGCAAUUUGGAGUAUCCACAAAACCUCCAGCGCCAAUAUCAAGGUACUGGGUACUUAUGGUGGUUUGAACAAGAAUGUUGCUCCCAUAGGCUCAGAUGUUUGAACACUUGGUCCCAAGUUGGUGUCGAUGUUUAGGUAAGCUGAAGAGGUGUGGGCUUGCUGGAGGGAGUAUGGUACUGUCGGCAGGUUUCCCUCUGCUUCCAGCUUGUGGUUCUAGAUGUUCUUCUUUCUGCUCUGGCGGCCACACCUGCUGCUUGCUGCCGUGCUCCCCUGCCUUGAGGGAUUCAGCAUCCUAGAACAGAGAUUGUAAAGAAGAUGACCCUGAACUUGGAGUAUUUGAAGGGAUGCAGGAGCUCAGCAGCUGCCAUCACCCUCAGAAGAGAACUGCUGUCGCCUAGGUGCCCCUAACUUGCAGGUUCUCAUAGAAGCAUAUGUCCUCCAAACCACUGUGUAUUCUACACUAAAGCACUUUGAAGAGAAGUGCAGAACUCACCACACACUUCCAAAGAAGACCCCACAGAUUGGAAUAUAGCGGCUCUCCCACCUUGAAUGCCUGCUGUUCCUCAGCCUGUCUCCCUCUCCAGCAUCUGAGUACCUCUGUGUCCUGCCCCCAACCCCCGCUCCUUCAAACUCAGCACUUUGGAAUCUCUCUCUCUCUAUCAGCAAAAGACAUGACACCCCAAUAAUAUUGAUCCAGAUCACUA